UGUCGUGAGAUGUUGGGUUAAGUCCCGCAACGAGCGCAACCCUUGACCUGUGUUACCAGCACGUAGAGGUGGGGACUCACAGGUGACUGCCGGCGUAAGUCGGAGGAAGGCGGGGAUGACGUCAAAUCAUCAUGCCCUUUAUGUCCUGGGCUACACACGUGCUACAAUGGGCGGUACAACGGGAAGCGAAGCCGCGAGGUGGAGCGAAACCCAGAAAGCCGUUCGUAGUUCGGAUUGCAGGCUGCAACUCGCCUGCAUGAAGCCGGAAUUGCUAGUAAUCGCGGAUCAGCAUGCCGCGGUGAAUCCGUUCCCGGGCCUUG
rnacentral:rRNA from 1 species